rnacentral:rRNA from 1 species
UAGGGAAUCUUCGGCAAUGGACGGAAGUCUGACCGAGCAACGCCGCGUGAGUGAAGAAGGUUUUCGGAUCGUAAAGCUCUGUUGUAAGAGAAGAACGAGUGUGAGAGUGGAAAGUUCACACUGUGACGGUAUCUUACCAGAAAGGGACGGCUAACUACGUGCCAGCAGCCGCGGUAAUACGUAGGUCCCGAGCGUUGUCCGGAUUUAUUGGGCGUAAAGCGAGCGCAGGCGGUUAGAUAAGUCUGAAGUUAAAGGCUGUGGCUUAACCAUAGUAGGCUUUGGAAACUGUUUAACUUGAGUGCAAGAGGGGAGAGUGGAAUUCCAUGUGUAGCGGUGAAAUGCGUAGAUAUAUGGAGGAACACCAGUGGCGAAAGCGGCUCUCUGGCUUGUAACUGACGCUGAGGCUCGAAAGCGUGGGGAGCAAACAGGAUUAGAUACCCUGGUAGUCCACGCUGUAAACGAUGAGUGCUAGGUGUUAGACCCUUUCCGGGGUUUAGUGCCGUAGCUAACGCAUUAAGCACUCCGCCUGGGGAGUACGACCGCAAGGUUG